CUCUGUUUUUCUGGCAUCUGCAAUUGGAAGCCGGCACAGGUGGCCGCUCAGGAAUCAUUGGGGAAAUGACAAGGGAUGCCCUUUCAGGACACACUACUCUGUCCAUCUUCCAUCCAGCCUGGAUAGGCAGGCUCUCCCCACCCUCCUGGAUUGGAUUCCAUUGACUCAUUUAUUUGCCCUGGAUGUCAUGGACUUCAGAAGGAUUUGCUGGGUGGAGACAUUUCAAAAGGUUCAAAUGUAAAAUGGGUCCCACUGAUAAAUGUAAAUUGUUUAAAUGACUUCAAUU
rnacentral:lncRNA from 1 species